AUACCUUUAGCAAAAUUGCUUAAAACGCAAAACAAAAUAAGUCGUAGGCCAGGUAAGGGUUUGGUUCUGUAUUGAUAGGCAAAUAAGCUUCUUAAAUGAGUUCCUUACUAAACAAUAUUUUUACUUAAUAGUCUGUAUAUGUCAGAGAAAUAAAAAGAAAAUAAAUUGUUGAAAACAUUAAACUUUCAUCAAAUGCAUUACUAAAAUAUACUAGUGACGUGAUAACAUUAACUUAGGGAGCACAUGAGAGAGUUAAUAAAGUCAGUAACCUGUGUGCCAUCUUUGCUUGUGCUUUUGUCUUUGUUGCAAUUUUUGUGCCCAUUCCCCAUGGAGGGGGAAGUAUUAUCAGAAUACAAUGAACACUGGGAAGACUGUUGAGACCGAUAUUCCUUUCUUUAUGUGGCAAGUGUAAAGACUUCACAGAGGGAAAUGAGAGAAAAUGAUGAAGACAAGUCAUCCUCAAACGUCCACUUUCCCUAAGUUGAAGGAACUUGUGGCUUAAGAGAUGGCUUCUCAGUCAAGAGCUCUUGCAAAGGACCUGCGUUAUGUUCCCAUUACCCAUAUUGAGAGGGCAACUGAAGCUCUCAUACCUGAUGUUCAAUGACGGGAAAAUUCUGGGGAAAUUGGAUAGAGAUGAAGCACAUACGUAUGAGCAUCACUGAGCUGUAUUACCACAUGGCUGUGGCAGCCUCCUCAGACUCAGCAGCUCGUACGCUCACAGUAAGGGGCCUCCUUUUUUAUAUUAGGUGGAUUCUUCAAUGGAGGAGACAGCAGGACAUAGAAAUCAGCUGAUCUUUAUUUUUCAAUCCAGAGUGAGGUUUAAAAAUAAAUUUAAAGCUUAUGUAAAAUCUUUAUGAUAUGAAUAAAGGCAGUGAGGCUGAAUAAGAG
rnacentral:sRNA from 1 species